rnacentral:rRNA from 1 species
ACAAGCGGAGGAGCAUGUGGUUUAAUUCGAUGAUACGCGAGGAACCUUACCUGGGCUUGAACGUAUGGUGCAUUAGGGUGAGAGCCCUAUUUCUAGCAAUAGACUUCAUACGAGGUGCUGCAUGGCUGUCGUCAGCUCGUGCCGUGAGGUGUUAGGUUAAGUCCUGCAACGAGCGCAACCCCUGUUUCCAGUUGCCAUCAAGUAAAGUUGGGGACUCUGGAGAGACUGCCUGCGCAAGCAGAGAGGAGGGUGGGGAUGACGUCAAGUCAGCACGGCCCUUACGUCCAGGGCUACACACGUGCUACAAUGGCCGGUACAGAGGGCAGCGACCUGGUGACAGGUAGCGAAUCUCCAAAGCCGGUCUCAGUUCGGAUCGGAGUCUGCAACUCGACUCCGUGAAGCUGGAUUCGCUAGUAAUCGGAUAUCAGCAAUGAUCCGGUGAAUACGUUCCCGGGCCUU